rnacentral:tRNA from 1 species
UCUAAUAUGGCAGACUAGUGCAAUGAAUUUAAGCUUCAUAUAUAAAGAUUAUUCUUUUAUUAGAA